rnacentral:rRNA from 1 species
UACAGAGGGUGCGAGCGUUGUCCGGAAUCACUGGGCGUAAAGGGCGCGUAGGUGGCGCCGCAAGUCCAUGGUGAAAGCUCGAUGCUCAACAUCGAGUCGGCCACGGAGACUGCGGGGCUCGAGCACUGUAGGGGCAGAUGGGAAUUCCGGGUGUAGCGGUGGAAUGCGUAGAGAUCCGGAGGAACACCACGGCGAGGCGCUUUCUGGUCCGA